GCUCGGGUGGUGGAAUUGGUAGACACACAUGUUUGAGGUGCAUGUGCCGCAAGGCGUGCAGGUUCGAGUCCUGUCCCGAGCACCA
rnacentral:tRNA from 1 species